AGAUUGAACGCUGGCGGCAUGCCUUACACAUGCAAGUCGAACGGCAGCACGGGGGCAACCCUGGUGGCGAGUGGCGAACGGGUGAGUAACAUAUCGGAACGUGCCCUGGAGUGGGGGAUAACUAGUCGAAAGAUUAGCUAAUACCGCAUACGAUCUACGGAUGAAAGUGGGGGAUCGCAAGACCUCAUGCUCGUGGAGCGGCCGAUAUCUGAUUAGCUAGUUGUGGGUAAAGCUACCAAGGCAUCGAUCAGUAGCUGGUCUGAGAGGACGACCAGCCACACUGGGACUGAGACACGGCCCAGACUCCUACGGGAGGCAGCAGUGGGGAAUUUUGGACAAUGGGCGCAAGCCUGAUCCAGCAAUGCCGCGUGAGUGAAGAAGGCCUUCGGUUGUAAGCGUCUUUGUCGAGGAGAAACGGUGGAGGCUAAUACCUUCUAGCUAAUAGACGGUACCUAGAAGAAUAAGACACCGCUAACUACGU
rnacentral:rRNA from 1 species